AUAGAGACUCAGAGCUGCAUAUCAAUAAGCGGAGGAAAAGAAACUAACAAGGAUUCCCUUAGUAACGGCGAGUGAAGCGGGAAGAGCUCAAAUUUGAAAUCUUCAAGGUUCUACCUUGACGAAUUGUAGUUUAUAGAAGUGUUUCCUGUUAGUAGAGUGGCAAAAGUUCUUUGGAAUAGGACAUCAUAGAGGGUGAGAAUCCCGUAUUUGGUCAUUCUUUCUAGCUUUGUGAUACACUUUCAACGAGUCGGAUUGUUUGGGAAUGCAGUCCAAAGUGGGUGGUAAAUUUCAUCUAAAGCUAAAUAUUGGCGAGAGACCGAUAGCGAACAAGUACCGUGAGGGAAAGAUGAAAAGAACUUUGAAAAGAGAGUUAAACAGUACGCGAAAUUGUCAAAAGGGAAGCGUUUGACACCAGUGUUGUUUUUCCGAAAAUCAAUUACGAAUGUUUUAGUUUUUAAGAAGUUAUGACUUCAUCGGCUUGCUUCUCUCUUUAUGAAACUUUCUUAAUGCACUUUUCGGUUAACAAGUCAACAUCAAUUUCUUUUGUUGUAAAAGGGUAUGAGGAAGGUGGCUUUCUUUUCGGAGAAAGUGUUUAUAGCCUUGUAGCCUCUGCAAUCGGAGAGAUUGAGGUCUGCAGCGUAGAUCCUUCGGGGUUAGAUACAGUUCGUGCUAAGUUAUAGCUUUUCAUAGACAACUUGUUGACUAUGUUAGUCUUGUAGCUUACUCGCUGAUGCUAUAUUACCUACGCUUAGGAUGUUGACGAGACUGUCGAUCUC
rnacentral:rRNA from 1 species